UACGUAGGGGGCGAGCGUUGUCCGGAAUUAUUGGGCGUAAAGAGCUCGUAGGCGGUCUGUCACGUCGGCUGUGAAAUCCCGAGGCUCAACCUCGGGUCUGCAGUCGAUACGGGCAAACUAGAGUAUUGCAGGGGAGACUGGAAUUCCUGGUGUAGCGGUGAAAUGCGCAGAUAUCAGGAGGAACACCGGUGGCGAAGGCGGGUCUCUGGGCAAUAACUGACGCUGAGGAGCGAAAGCGUGGGGAGCGAACAGG
rnacentral:rRNA from 1 species